AUCCCAAUGAGUGGGCCAUAAAG
rnacentral:snRNA from 1 species